GUGUUAGCUCAGGGUCAGUCUUCCUCAGCAAAAAGAGGAGGACUGGCGGCAGAUGUUAGCUCAGGGCUAAUCUUCCUUGGGGGGAAAAAAAGGAGAUUCCUGCUUUUGUCAGUGAAGUUUCUUUAUGUUGUAAGUGAAGAAAAACCCAAGGGAAACUGAAAAGACUGUUGGUAGAUCCAGGGAUAGUCAUGACUUUAAUCAAAGUUCAAAUGCUGCCACCAGGACCUACCUCCCAGAUCUUCCUCUGCCUGUUAGCUUCGUCUUUAGGCUGGUUCCUGCCCUGGUAGCAGAAUGGUUGCAACAGUCGCAACUUCACAUCUGUAGCUACCGAGUCUGGAGGUCCUGUGGUAUGGAGGCUACUGGAUUAGAAUUGCUAAUUUUCAUUUAGGAUUUUUGCAUUCAUAGUUAUAAAAUACGGUCUAUAGAUUUCCUUCUAGUGUUAUAAUUGUAGGUUUUGGUAACAGGAUUAUGAUCCUCUUUCAAAACAAGCUGGGAUUUUUUCCAAGUAUUUUUACACUCUGGAACCAUCUGGUCUACUGCAUUUUUGGUGUAGGCGAUAUCUUUGACUACAUUUUUAAUUGAUUUAUUCAGAUUUUCUACAUUUUGAGCUGAUUUUGCUUAUUUACAUUUUCAUCGGUAUAAGGAUUUUUUUUCUACCCGUUUUUCUUGUGUCAACUCUUUGAACAUUUUUCCCAUUCUCCUUUCUGUACUAGUAUCACUCCAUUUGAAAAUCUCAAAGGCUGUCUAGGAAAGGGCACACAGGAGAGUUGAUGGUGAAGCGGCCAAAAACUGAAAAAGUGAACUUUAAACUGGUUCACUACAGGAACAUUUGCUGCUGAGAACAUGCUAACCUGCCACCCUGAGGCUUAUUUUAAUUCCGCGGAAAUCCAUGCAGAGGUUUUAGCGCUUAGAUCGUAACCUACUGGGCGAAAGCGGGGACGGUAACCCGACUGUUAGAGCCCCGGCGGGCUUGGCAGUUUUGUAAGCUACUUUCAAGCGGUAACUCCAAGUGGUACCUCCAAAGGAGCACAACGCGGCACCCACGGCUAGUCGGAAAAAGUGCCCCGUUUAACAAAAGCUGAAAAGAUCUGUUAAGAAUUAGUGAAAAUAUUUUAAUUCUCCGACAUCUCUGGUUCUGUGAAACGAGCCUGCGUAGCUGAUGGAAAUUCCCCAAGUUUUCUUAACACCACAAACCGGACUGCCUCCCUCAGCUCCCAGUCGGAUCCAUCCCACCCAGACCCGGUUCGAGAGUGCCACACUUUUUCCAGCCGGUUCCCAAACGACCUUCCGAAGUGAGGUUUCCCGCCAUUUCACUUCAAGGAAUGGAGGGUCUUUCCCCUCAGAUUCCCCACACUUGUGGGAGGCCCGAGCCCACACAGCUUUCCCCUCAAAGCAAGCAGCGGGACGCCAACGGCAGCAGGCUGCAUUAUGACCCAGGGGACUGAGCAAAAAGGGGACACCCCAAGUCGCUCGGUAAGCGCUCAGCAUCUGCCGAAAACAAACCCCGCGAAACGCAAGCAAAGCCGGCCGGGCGCGGGCGCCGAG
ensembl:lncRNA